UACGUAGGGUGCAAGCGUUAUCCGGAAUUAUUGGGCGUAAAGAGCUCGUAGGCGGUCUGUCGCGUCGAAUGUGAAAACCCGGGGCUCAACCCCGGGCCUGCAUUCGAUACGGGCAGACUAGAGUUCGGUAGGGGAGUCUGGAAUUCCUGGUGUAGCGGUGAAAUGCGCAGAUAUCAGGAGGAACACCGGUGGCGAAGGCGGGACUCUGGGCCGAUACUGACGCUGAGGAGCGAAAGCGUGGGGAGCAAACAGG
rnacentral:rRNA from 1 species